rnacentral:rRNA from 1 species
CAGAGGGUGCGAGCGUUGUUCGGAAUUACUGGGCGUAAAGCGCGCGCAGGCGGCUUCUUAAGUCCGUCGGUCAAAUGCCGGGGCUCAACCCCGAGCGUGCCGAGGAUACUGGGAGGCUGGAGACAUGUAGAGGCAAGCGGAAUUCCGGGUGUAGCGGUGGAAUGCGUAGAGAUCCGGAAGAACACCGGAGGCGAAGGCGGCUUGCUGGGCAUGGUCUGACGCUGAGGCGCGAAAGCGUGGGGAGCGAACAGGAUUAGAUACCCUGGUAGUCCGCGCCGUAAACGAUGGGCACUAGACGCGGGGUGGAUCGACCCAUUCCGUGUCGAAGCUAACGCGAUAAGUGCCCCGCCUGGGGAGUACGGCCGCAAGGCUG